rnacentral:rRNA from 1 species
AUUGAACGCUGGCGGCAGGCCUAACACAUGCAAGUCGAACGAGUGGCGGACGUGUGAGUCAUGUCUGGGAAACUGCCCUAUGGAGGGGGAUAACUACUGGAAACGGUAGCUAAUACCGCAUACCAUCGGAUGUGCCCAGGGUGGAUUAGCUCGUAGGUGGGGUAACGGCUCACCUAGGCCACGCUCCCUAGCUGGUCUGAGAGGAUGACCAGCCACACUGGAACUGAGACACGGUCCAGACUCCUACGGGAGGCAGCAGUGGGGAAUAUUGCACAAUGGGCGCAAGCCUGAUGCAGCCAUGCCGCGUGUAUGAAGAAGGCUUUCGGGUUGUAAAGUACUUUCAGCGAGGAGGCGGUACUCGAAGAAGAAGCACCGGCUAACUCCGUGCCAGCAGCCGCGGUAAUUC